rnacentral:pre_miRNA from 1 species
AGUGAGAUUGCUGGAUUAUAUGGUGGGUGGGUGUUUAACUUUAUAAACAACUGCAAAACUGUUUGCCAAAGUGUCUGUACCAUUUUUUAUUCCCAAAAGCAAU